AAUAUUGAAGUUGCUCUUGACUAUCUAUCUGAAGCUGUGCAAUUGUUUGCUCAAGUCUUUGGGCCACCACAUGUCAACAUAGCAAACUGUUAUAAAGUUAUUGCACGAAUUCAUCAUGCUCUAGGAGACAGUAAACUAGCAAUAUCAUAUCAGCACAAAACUGUCAUUAUGUAUGAGAGACUGCUAGGAGUGGACCACUGCAGCUCUAUAUCAGCCUAUUUCCAUUUGGCUUAGUAUUGGUGCGGGGCUUAGAGGAAUGUUGUGGCGUUGAGAUUAUUGUAUAGAGUUAGGUAUCUAAUAAUGUUAAGACAUGGUGAGGAUCAUCCUGAAAUGUCUAAUGUUGAUUUUUACAUUGGUUUACUACUGAGUAAUGCUGGUCAUUAUGAAGAAAGUCAGGCAUAUCUGGAAAGUGCUCUUAGAUUACAAAACAAGUUUCAUGGAAGUCAAUCAAUUACUAUAGCCACAAUUCAUCAUCUUCUUGCCAACUCAUUGACUCACAUUGGAGCAUUUGCUGAAGCUAAGCAAAAUAAGAGAAAAGCAUACAAUAUCUAUAGGACUGAAUUUGGCCCAGAUCAUGCAUGUACUGUUCAGUCUUAUAAAAAACGUGAGGUAUAUCACUGAAAAGCAAGUCUCUUAUGACCAGACUGUUGCCUAAAUUUCCUUGCCAGUUUUUUGAAUGUUACAUCAUCUAAUCGUUUAGCAGUGCAGAGUCAUCAUUAACUGAGAAGCAACUGAUGGUGAGACUAGACCUGUAGGAAGUGGAAUGGCUACACGUAAUAGAGAAGCAACUGAUGGUGAUACUAGAGCUGUAAGAAGAGGAACAGCUACACGUAAUAGAGGAGCAACUGAUGGUGAUACUAGAGCUGUAUGAAGAGAAACAGCUACACGUAAUAGUAAGUUCUUUUAUGCUAGCAGUGAGUAAGUGUAUGUCUCGAGUUGUGUAGAAUGAGGUAUGCAGCUAGUACCAAUAGCUCAAAAUAAUAUCAGGGCAAAAGAGAGUGUGUGUGUUUGAGAAAAUUGUUACGUUUAAAGUUUAAGCUUACUGAGUAAAAGUUCUAUUAAUGAUUGGCACCACCCA